ensembl:lncRNA
CUGUGCUCUCCUUCUGUGUCUUGUUCCCUCGUUAUCCCUCUGUGUAUUUAAGCCCUGUGUUUCUCUUUGUCAGUGUCGUAGUCCCCCUCAUGGCUGUGUUUCCAUGUGUGUUAGUUAUCCAUGUCCCAGUUUAGUUUUGUUAUAUUUUUUGUGCCAUCCUGCAAUAAAGCAGCUUUUUGAGUUUAAUUCCUACGUGGUGAGUUUUACGUUUGGGUCCUUCUCCUGCCUGCACACAGCCGAAACAUGACACCAGCAUGUUGAGAUUGACACCAAAGGGGUCACUGUACGAGAUGGACAGACAGAAAGACAUCUCACUGGAAAGGAUCUCGUCACUGCUGGAAGUGUCACAGUGAGUAUACGCAACAAUAAAAUAGACAUUGCAGCAGGAGACAUGCGCCUGGUUGUUUUAGUUCAUGAGAAGAACAGCAUUAAAUUUCUUUGGCCAGUUUUAAGACAGCAUCCCUCGGCCAACAACACUGAUGGACUUUUAGUUAAAAGUCAGUGGUUUAUGAGGAGGUACAACAAGUUCCACCUACAAAACUAAAGAUUUAAAAACCAGGAGAUCAAUGUUACUAAUGGCAAUGCCAGUGACUAUAGCAUUGCCUCUCCUCUCAUGAUGAACUGCUGGCUCACAUCUGCUGACUCUGCCUUGCAGAGACCACUGGCCGAUUUCGUUGUUCCACAACUUUAACUGGAAACUGUGAGAAAAUAUUUCAUUUGAGAAGAGACUACGGAAAAUACUUGCAACACCUGUUUCCAGCAUGAACAAAUAAACAUAUCUUGGAUUGUUUAAUAACUCACAAAUUUUAUUUUACUGAAAAAACUGUAUAAAGUCAGAAUAAUACAUCCAACUGUGUGAAUUUCAUUAAAAAUAAAGAUGAACAAAAAUGACCCAAAAUACACACAGUUGACCGUUAUAAUAAUAGUACACCUUGUACCUAAAUACAAUCUACAAGUUAAAAUCUUGUCAGUUUAAACUGAUUUGUCUAAAUGAAAACCAUUUGGAGUCUCUGUUAAGCACCACAUCAUUAGCAAAGAAAAUACUUAGAAAUGUAAAAUUACUAGAAUUCUCCUUUAGAAAGGUUCCAUAUUUGUAUAUUGUCAUUGUUUUACUAUUUUCUCUUAUGCAGUAGUUUUCUUUGUGCUUUGUAACAUCUGUGUUUAAAUCUAUUCCUUAUAAUGACAACUAGACAUGUGAUUGCUUUUGCUUUCUGAAUCAUCUGUUUUCUCAGCACCUUCCUGACCUCAUCAGUCUUAAAAAUAGAUUAAUUUUUGUUUGACAUAUACUUUAUAACAGCCACAUACUAGUUUCACAAUUAGUGCUAAGAUCUGCGACUUUAAUUUCUCAAAACAUUGUUCCAUGUUACAAAUUGGUGGAAACUGUUAGAUUUUACAUAAAUUGGUGCUGUGGGGAGUGUUUUAUGUAAGUGGGUGUUUGUUAUGUUUGGUGGUGAUAGAGGAGAGAAAUGAAAGAUUUUCCUUUUGAAAAAAUGUGUACAUAGUAAUACUGUAGUUUUGAGUUCAAACAGCAGUUUCCACUGCCUUGCACUAGUAGGA